rnacentral:lncRNA from 12 species
CCGGUCCCCCGCCGUCCCCGCCGCGCGUCGGGACCGGGGUCCGGUGCGGAGAGCCCCUCGUCCCGGGAAACGGGGCGCGGCCGGAAAGGGGGCCGCCCCCUCGCCCGUCACGCAACGCACGUUCGUGGGGAACCUGGUGCUAAACCAUUCGUAGACGACCUGCUUCUGGGUCGGGGUUUCGUACGUAGCAGAGCAGCUCCCUCGCUGCGAUCUAUUGAAAGUCAGCCCUCGACACAAGGGUUUGUCCGCGCGCGCGCGCGCGCGCGCCCUUGCGCCUCCUUCCCUCCUUCCCUCCUGGUGGAUCCGGUCGACCAGCUGUCCCCGCGGUCCCCGCGGUCCCGCGGCGGCCGCCCGCCCGCCCGGGUCGACCAGCACCCCCGCGGUCCCACGGUCCCGGGUCGACCAGCACCCCGUUGGCGCCGCCUCGCCUCGACGACUACCCGGGCGGCGGAGGCCGGGCCUCUCGCCCUCUCGCGGUGCGACCAGCCGACCUGGGCUCCCGCCCCGCCCCGCCCGCUUCCGCCAGCCACACGGCGCGCCCGUGUCUCCGCCCCUCCGCGGGUCGACCAGCAAGCCGUUCCCUCGCGCCCGCCUCCAUUCCCCGUGCGGGGGACUUGAGUGGUUUGUGCCACCGCCACCGGUGUUUCAUACCCAGCGAUUCCCCCGGUCUCGCCCUUGAUCCUCCUUUAUGGAUCUAUUCGUGACAGACGCAAAGACAGGCAGACACUUCGGCACGGGGAGAAAGGCGCUCGAGCGCCGAGCCCCCAUGCGUCGCCGCCAGUUUGCCUUUUUCUUUUUUCUCCCUUUUUUUUUUUUUCUGGAAGGUUUGUUUGUAUGUAUGUAUGUAUGUAUG